UUGUAAGUAUUUCUGGGUUGUUUAAAAACCUUUUCCUUUCAUCUUGGCCGGUUGCUUCAAAUUUCUAGGACAUUGAUUUCGGGUUUCAAUUUUCAAAUUUUUGCAGGUGCAUGUAAUUUUUCUGUUCAUGUCAAUCAUGUUAUGCAUUUUACUCUCUGGUCGGUUUGGUUUUGGGCUUAAGUAGGUUUCAGCUUAGGUAUGUAGAUGUUCCAACAUUCAAAAAAUCAACCUGCAUAGGGUGCUGGCAGUAACUUUAGAAGGGUUACUCCCCAAAAAAUUGUGUCUGAUUGUUGUCCCUCUCCCCCCAUUGUCCAUUUCCUUCGCAUUAGUUGCUUUUCAUGGGAUUUAUGUAUCAAUCAACAAAAAUGAUUUGAAAAACAAGUUGGGCCUACUUCUUUCUAGUUAGUGAAUGCUAAGAUUGCAAAAUUGAAGAUGAGACUAGUUUAGCCCAAGUUAAAUCAGAAAUCAUAUUGUACAAUAUGGCCAGCAUUUCUGUGCAAUAGAAAUCGGCAAAUGUGAUAAUAUCUGCAGAGGAAGGUAUAAACAAUUGAACUCUAGUCCUUCAGUAACUGAGAAAGUUAAAGUAUCUGGUUCUAAUCAUUAUGCUUAUGAUGUACAAAUUUAGGGUGACAUAUCGAAAUACUAUUACUUAACGGACAGAGCUACACAAAGUUACACCCAUACGUCCACUGAUCUUCUGUUUGAACUUUUUCUUUCUGGUUGGUUAAUAAUUGUUUUAAGCUUUUAGGAAUGUUGUGAUAUAUAUUUAUUUGACACUCCAGUUAUAAAUAGUGCAUACAGAUCCCUCUUUCACGCUUCCUAAUUUUUCAUCAGACUCAUACUUUAGCUUCUGUCUGCAUUGUGUUUAGUCUCCUGAGCUAUAUGAAUGCUUCAGUUUUCCCUAAACUCAUAGUUUUAAUUUCCAACUCACUUUUAUUCGUCUAUUAGAUGAUAUAUAAGUGCACGAAGAAAUUUAGACUGCUAGUACAUUAGUCUAAUUUCAAUGGGCAUAAUCGUUAAUCAGGUUUCAUCUAUUUCUAAACGAGCAUUCAGAUUUUCGGCAGACUAAUUCAUAUAUACCUGUGGAAUAUAUGAUUUUAUUUACCUGUGGAAUUGUGAGGCCGGCUAAUGAAAACAAAGGUGUCAUGGCUGGGGUUUGAAGAUUAAUGUUCAUAGCUAUAUAUAACUAUUAAAUUGAGUAAAAUGAGCAACAGAUUGUAUAGUACUGUAUUAGUUGAUCUUUUUCUUGUAUGAGGUUAUUGUAUCAUUAUUGAUUCCCAUAUACUUGGUUCAUUUGCAUCUCUGUUUCAGAUUGUAUAGCUCUAACAAAUUUCAUAAACAAAUAAUGUUUCGGAAACUUCAAUAAUCUUUUUUUUUUUUUGGGUAUAGUUUCCGAAACUUUUUUUUACCACGGAAAAGUGAAUUUCUUAGAAUUACAUCCCAUAUUUCCAUCUGAGUCAGAUAUUGGUUCUGCCACUGAGGAUGCAGUGUCUAAAAUUUUCCUUUCUAUUUCGUAAAUCCUGUUAUGGAGCCUUCCACAUUACAGAAUGUUGGGCCAGGGGCUUCGAUCUUCAAGUCCAGGGCAGUGGUCAGGCUCCGAACACAGUCAAAUGUCUGUUGGCGAAUGAUGUAUGGAGGGAGGUUUGGUGAACCCAAGACCUCAGCAGAUAUGCACCUUAAAGUACGUUAUGGGGGAAAGCUCUCUGAGAAGGGCUCCUCUGUAGAUGAACCAGAGUCUGCUAGUGUCAGCAGGGGUGCUGGUGUAUUUCGUUUACGCAUGUCAGCUUAACGUGGGAAGCCUUUUGGAUGGCAGUGGUUAUGGAUCUUAGAUGGAUUGCCUCUCAUUUUUUUAUUUAUUUUUUAUUUUUAUUUUUAUUUAAAAAAAAAAAAGAGGAUCAAAGGAUUUCACUCCUACCCCCAUGGUGACUCGAACCCAUGACUUCGUCAUUAGGUAGUGGGUGCUCUAACCGCUGAGAGAUGGAUUGCCUCUCCCCGAUUAAUACAACACCACAUUUUGUUGAAGGGGACAAAAGAAACAGAUGAACAGAAUUACCUUCCAUGGAGAAUAGUAAAUGGUGUUGCAGAAGAGCAGAAUUUUGCUUCUGGCUCCAUAGUGAUUGAUAGUGUCUGGCAAUAAAGUCGGCACUGUCACGACUCAACCUGGAUGUUAUGGGCUUGGUGUUUUGCAUUUGCAUGAAGCUUUUGAAGAUAGGUACGUUGACCAUAAGAGGCCAGAAUGAUUUAAAGGUUGAGGCGAUAGGACCAGAUUGGUAGCUGCCUGAAUGGAUUUCCCGUUGCAGCUGCUUCAGGUUCUAGAAUUGCCCUUUUAGGUUUUGUCGACGAAUUCUUGAUAUCUGCAGCCAGUUGCAUCAAAGUGUUGACUUGUAGUUUCCCUUAUAUAACUUGGACGACAGUAUCUCCAAAUGGAUCUACAAUUCUUAGUGAAGUGACCAGUUGUGAUAUAUUCAUGAGCUAAGUAUCCCGUUGCAGCACUUGUUUCCAGAGUGCAGAAGACAUUGUCAUCAGCAAGCAGCUUAGGAAGACCUGAGUCCGAAAUCAAUGGCUAUAAAUUGCUGACCGAUAUCGAUGAGAACCUUUUGUACAAAUAUGUUUUGGUGAAUCAUGGCAGGUUUGUGUUCAUCAUUGCUGUGCAAGUAUCCAAUACCUGGUUGCAAAAGAUAGCUGGGUUCUUUCUUUUGUUCUUCUAACUUUCUUUAUAGAGAUCAUUUUUUUGGGGUCUGGUUCUCUAUAGAGAUCAUGGAAUGAUAAUAACAUGGAUCUCUAGCUGACUUCGCAAAUUCAUCUUUUUAUGCUAUUCUUCCUUCU